rnacentral:piRNA from 1 species
UGGGAUUACAGUGUGCACAACUUUCCUGC